UUCAUUUGUGAUGAUUGUUAUUCAUAUUGGGGUUCAUCUUCGGGGUUCAUUUGUGAUGAUUGUUCUUCAUAUUUGGGUUCAUCUUCGGGGUUCAUUUGUGACGAUUGUUCUUCAUAUUGGGGUUCAUCUUUGGGGGUCGUUUGUGGUGACUGGUUAUACAUAUCGGGAGUUUAUUCAGGAUAUUUGGUUACUUUGUUGGGGUCCGUUCUGAUAACCUUUUUCUUUGGUGUCG
rnacentral:lncRNA from 1 species